rnacentral:rRNA from 1 species
UACGUAGGGUGCGAGCGUUAAUCGGAAUUACUGGGCGUAAAGCGUGCGCAGGCGGUUAUGUAAGUCAGGUGUGAAAUCCCCGGGCUUAACCUGGGAACUGCAUUUGUGACUGCAUAGCUAGAGUACGGUAGAGGGGGAUGGAAUUCCGCGUGUAGCAGUGAAAUGCGUAGAUAUGCGGAGGAACACCGAUGGCGAAGGCAAUCCCCUGGGCCUGCACUGACGCUCAUGCACGAAAGCGUGGGGAGCAAACAGG